GUGCACCAGUCGCGAAACCUUCGCAAUGCGGGAAACCGCGACGAGGGGACUCCCAGUGCCUACGCUCAGCGUAGGCUGUUCCCGAGCCUAGAAAGCUCGGGGAGUAAGGGCUGGGUAAGACGGGUGCCAGCCGCCGCGGUAAUACCCGCAGCCCGAGUGGUGGCCACUAUUAUUGGGCCUAAAGCGUCCGUAGCCGGCCCGGUAAAUGGCCUGGGUAAAUCGUGAGGCCUAACCUCACGAAUUCCGGGUAGACUGCCGGGCUAGGGACCGGAGGAGGGAGAGGGGUACUCCAGGGGUAGGGGUGAAAUCCUGUAAUCCCUGGAGGACCACCGGUGGCGAAGGCGCUCUCCUAGGACGGGUCCGACGGUGAGGGACGAAAGCCAGGGGAGCGAACCGGAUUAGAUACCCCUGUAGU
rnacentral:rRNA from 1 species